UUGAACGCUGGCGGCAGGCCUAACACAUGCAAGUCGAGCGCGAAAAGUUUUCGGACUGAGUAAAGCGGCGGACGGGUGAGUAACGCGUGGGAAUCUGCCCAGUAGGGGGGGACAACAGCCGGAAACGGCUGCUAAUACCGCAUACGCCCUACGGGGGAAAGGGGGGGAUCUUCGGACCUCUCGCUAUUGGAUGAGCCCGCGUCGGAUUAGCUAGUUGGUGGGGUAAAGGCCUACCAAGGCUACGAUCCGUAACUGGUCUGAGAGGAUGAUCAGUCACACUGGAACUGAGACACGGUCCAGACUCCUACGGGAGGCAGCAGUGGGGAAUAUUGGACAAUGGGGGCAACCCUGAUCCAGCCAUGCCGCGUGUGUGAAGAAGGCCUUAGGGUUGUAAAGCACUUUCAGUGGGGAGAAAGGUUUGUCACCUAAUACGUGAUGAAAUUGAUGUUACCCACAGAAGAAGCACCGGCUAACUCCGUGCCAGCCGCCGCCGUAA
rnacentral:rRNA from 1 species